CCUCAGGACAAGACUCAGCUGUUCACCUCCACCCCAAAGAGUAAGGACACUCCUUUGAGGACAACAAUGUUCACAUUCUAGACAGAGAGGGACAAUGGUUUGAAAGAGGAGUCAAGGAAGCUAUAGGUUUGUUUUAUCAGACGUUUCGUGGUUGAUUGUUACUGAUGUGAAAGCAUCCUCAGAAAGCAGCAGAAUGUUUAAUGUUGUGUCAUGUGUGUACACAGGUAGGUGGCAUCACUCAUAUCAUCUCUAAAGACGACCACAACUGGUGGCAGGUAAAGUUGGAGAACACCAAGAACGGCACUGCGGGCCUCAUCCCUUCACCUGAGCUGCAGGAGUGAGCCGCUUUUAGCAGGCGAGGCUCUGAAAUGGAGGCGGUGAGAGCGCAGGAGGAGUCUGGACAUGACGGCACAGCCAUGUUGUGGUCCAUCCAGGAGGCUCUGGAGAGGCAGACCCUGCAGAUCGGAGCGUCCGCCUGUGGAGCCACGGCGGUGGUGGACGUACUGAAAGCCCUUGGCGUGGAUGUUGCUCCGGAGGAAGCUGACCGGUGCGUAAAGACGCACCUGAGAAGGAACGACUCACCGCUUCCGGACUACCUGCUGUCCCGAAGCGAAGCAGGUGCAACACACGCUCAGCUUAUCCAAGGAGCAGAACAGGCCAGUAAUGGGGAGGUGAUUGGUCGUUUCUUCCACCUAUACCCCCGCCGGCAGGUAAAACUGGUCCCAUGGCUCGCUCACUGGAUCCAAAAAGGAGCUGUCCCCGUGGCAACCAUGAACAUGCAGCUGGCUGUACCCGAGGGUGAGGAGGUGCCUGACGCCUGGCACCAUCAACUCAUAUUCGGGGUUGCACCGAAUGCAGUUUUUAUGACCAACCCGUUAGACUUAGUGAGUGAGGAGGAGUUGCACCAGAGACUCUGCAGUGAGUCAGUUCUGCUGAUUCGUCGAGAAGACGUGCUGCAGAGAUGGAUGCCAGACUGCUCUCUGUGUGGCCUCUCAGAGCACAAGGUUGAUCCACGGUGGUCGGCCCUUGACGUUGAAGGUCAGGUGAGGCUUAUGGUCCUUGAAAAGGAACCAGAGCAGCAAACGCACAUCAGGAUCCCUGCAGCUUACAGUUCAGGUGUUACACUCUUUGCACGACGACAGUCACAGUUAGGACAGGAGCUCCUCCGUGCACCUGAGCUUGAUUUGCUGUGAAAGCAGCACAACCUAAGGACUCUUUUAUCCACAUCCAUACUAAGGACUCACCUAUACUGUUUAGGAUCAGCAGAUUUCUGCUCUUUUGCAGCCACUAUUAAACCCAGUGAC
rnacentral:lncRNA from 1 species